AGUGCAAUUGCUGGAUUAUAUGGUAUGUUUAGUUUUCUAAGAAACUGCCAAAUUGCCUUCUAAAAUGGCCGUACCAUUUGCAUUCCCAUCAGCAAU
rnacentral:pre_miRNA from 1 species